rnacentral:rRNA from 1 species
UGGGGAAUUUUGGACAAUGGGCGCAAGCCUGAUCCAGCAAUGCCGCGUGCAGGAUGAAGGCCUUCGGGUUGUAAACUGCUUUUGUACGGAACGAAAAGGCUCUGGCUAAUACCUGGGGCACAUGACGGUACCGUAAGAAUAAGCACCGGCUAACUACGUGCCAGCAGCCGCGGUAAUACGUAGGGUGCGAGCGUUAAUCGGAAUUACUGGGCGUAAAGCGUGCGCAGGCGGUUUUGUAAGACAGAGGUGAAAUCCCCGGGCUCAACCUGGGAACUGCCUUUGUGACUGCAAGGCUGGAGUGCGGCAGAGGGGGAUGGAAUUCCGCGUGUAGCAGUGAAAUGCGUAGAUAUGCGGAGGAACACCGAUGGCGAAGGCAAUCCCCUGGGCCUGCACUGACGCUCAUGCACGAAAGCGUGGGGAGCAAAC